UUCUUUCUCUCUGCUUCCUGACUAUGGAUGGACUGUGAUCAGCAGCUCCCAUCUGGAACUCCAGCCACCACGCCUUUCUAACCCCUACAUGGUCUUGGGGGGACUGAAGUGUGCAGGAGAUGAAAGUACUGGUGAUCGAACCCAGGGCCUACCACCUGCUAGACAAGGCCUCUACCACUGCCCUGCCCUGAUGAAGAAACUGUUUAUUAUAUUAUUAUAUUAUUAAACUGAUGUUUGAGCCUA